rnacentral:rRNA from 1 species
UACGUAGGGGGCAAGCGUUGUCCGGAAUUAUUGGGCGUAAAGAGCGUGUAGGCGGUCCGGUAAGUUGGCUGUGAAAGUCCUGGGCUCAACCCUGGGAUGCCGGUCGAUACUGCCGGACUAGAGUUCGGAAGAGGCGAGUGGAAUUCCCGGUGUAGCGGUGAAAUGCGCAGAUAUCGGGAGGAACACCUAUGGCGAAGGCAGCCCCCUGGGCUAACACUGACGCUCAUGCACGAAAGCGUGGGGAGCAAACAGG